UAGGGAAUCUUCGGCAAUGGACGAAAGUCUGACCGAGCAACGCCGCGUGAGUGAAGAAGGUUUUCGGAUCGUAAAACUCUGUUGUUAGAGAAGAACAAGGACGUUAGUAACUGAACGUCCCCUGACGGUAUCUAACCAGAAAGCCACGGCUAACUACGUGCCAGCAGCCGCGGUAAUACGUAGGUGGCAAGCGUUGUCCGGAUUUAUUGGGCGUAAAGCGAGCGCAGGCGGUUUCUUAAGUCUGAUGUGAAAGCCCCCGGCUCAACCGGGGAGGGUCAUUGGAAACUGGGAGACUUGAGUGCAGCAGAGGGGAGUGUAAUUCCAUGUGUAGAGGUGAAAGGCGUCGAUAUAUGGAGGAAAACCAGUGGCGAAGGCGGCUCCCUGGUCUGUACCUGACGCUGAGGCACGAAAGCGUGGGGAGCAAACAGG
rnacentral:rRNA from 1 species